rfam:Haemonchus placei strain MHpl1 genome assembly, scaffold: HPLM_scaffold0002700
GGAACCAAAUCUAAAGUAGAGUAGAUUAGUAAGAUCAGCUGACCAUACUAAUCUACUUUACUUCAAGUUUGUGCUC